rnacentral:lncRNA from 1 species
UCUCUUAUUCAAGGUAUAGUAUGACAUAAUUAUCAAAUUAUUACAAUAUUGAUAAAACGAGUCUAACCAAAUCCAAACCUUUUAAAUUAUUCAGACUCGAUACAUAGAAAAAAUUAGUUAAAGUAGAGACAAAUUUGAUACUAUAUCUAUGUACCAAUAACAAUUAUAAAAUAAACGAAUACAGAGCUCCCACGAAAUAAAAGACAUAUGAUAUGCACGUGCACAUGCAUACCCUAAUGUCCCAAAACGGUGACUUCUGGUUUAUCGUCGUCGGGAUCUUCGUCACCGAUCUUCUUGAUGUUGCCGAUGACGUGCUCGUAACGACUAUCGUCGGCAUCCUCGUUGGCGAGAUCGUGAAAAGUGUGGAUGCUAUGGCCGGGUUGGUCCACGGCAUGGACUUGUUUUACUAGGAUCAAACAAACCAAAAUUCCCACCAAAAAAAUCAUUGAAACUUUUGGCCUUGAUGCUGCCAUUGAUAACUUCUUUAUGAUUGUUUAUUUCUUUUUUCUUCAAAAUUUUGUUUGAUUUGGUUGCUAUGAGCAAGAAUUGAAGGUGAAUUGA